ACGACCGCCGCGACAAAAGUUUGUUGUUUUGUUGUGCUGUCAUUUCAACUUUUCAGCAGAAUCGAGUGUUCGAGUAUUUUUUUUGCAUUAUUGCUCUUGUUUUCCGUCCUAAUCCUGUGCCACUUAUACACGUUCCAAAUAUUCAAGAACAAACUGAUUUACGAUGUCAUUGAUCAGCUGCUGGGAAAGUUCAACGAGAAGGCGGUGGAAUGUAUUCUGUUUAUGUUACGAUCCAUUGGCUUUGUGCUGCGGAAGGAUGACCCGCUGGCGCUGAAGGAUAUGAUCCGGAAGGUGCAGAAGAAGGCUGCCGAAGCCCCGGCUGAGCUGAAGAAUGACUCACGUGUGAAAUUCAUGUUGGAUACGCUGCUGGCAGUCAAGAACAACAACAAUCGACAAUGUGGAACAUUUUCGCAAGAUAUUGAAGGGCAUGAUCACAAGUGGGAAAUACGUCAGCACGUAAAACAUCGGAUUGGAUGAUCUGCUGAACGUAGACGAGCGUGGCAAAUGGUGGUUGGUCGGAUCGGCCUGGCAUGGAAAGAAUGAUGGUAAAGAUCCUGAAGCUGGAAAAAGCUCAACCGGCGGAAGCGCUGGUGGAUUCAGUCAACAGCUGCUGGAACUGGCUCGGAAACAGCGAAUGAACACCGAUGAUAAGCGGAAUGUUUUCUGCGCCAUUAUGAGCGCAGAGGAUUAUCUGGACGCAUUUGAUAAAAUCCUUCGUCUGUCCAUCAAGGACCAACGGGUGGUGGCCACAGUCAUACUGCACUGUUGUCUAUCGGAAAAGGACUACAACCCUUAUUAAAGUAUACUUUCGCAGAAAUUCUGUGAAUACGACCGUCGCUACCAGUUGGCCAUCCAGUACGCCAUCUGGGAUCGCCUGAAGGAAAUUCACUCGCUGAAGCAAGCGCCAUCUCGCAAUAUAGCCAAACUGCUAACCCACUUGAUCAGUGAAGGAGGCCUGGCCGUGUCCAUGCUGAAGGUGAUCGAAUUUGCCGAAAUCGAUAAGAUUACCCUGCGGGUGGUACGACAGAUCAUGUUGGGCAUUCUGCUGUUGGAGGACGAAAACAAAUGCCUUCAGGUGUUCAACCGUAUUGCUCCGAGCUUCAAACUGAAGGGCUUCAAGGGCAGUUUGCGGCUGUUUUUGCACCAUUUUCUGCUGAAGGGAAGCCACAAGUCGAGCGUUCCGGAGGAGCAACUGCAACUGUUGCAGCAGCGAAUUCGAAUGGCCGACCGGAUGCUGGGCACGUCGGAUUCACGGGUGCAGUUCUAGGUGUUUCUAGGUGUCGUAGAAAUAUUGUAAGUAUCAAGUAUCUAAUACAUAUAACAUAUAUUAUAACGUAAUAUAACAAUUACAUAUAACAUAUAAUAUAAGACGCCAACUUUUUACGAGUGAAAAAUAUAGAACAAGUAGUACACCGUCUUCAACCAGAGUUCCAAACCUUCCCUGAUUGGAGCGGGUCGGAAUCGAAUCCACACUCCGAGGCUUUUUAAACGCCUAGACGACUGACGCCACACAGCCACUAGUGUGAUCCACAAAUGUUGAUCUGCGAGAGGUUCCCGUUCUUAUCCCGGCACUUUUCGGUUCUCGGGACGACGCCCUUAAGGGGUUGGAUUGAGCUUCUGGUAGAACUUCCAAGUUUCUUGAGAACGGCACAGCAGCAGUUCCAUUUACUAGCACUCCUUUUAUUCUAUGAGCCGUUUCAUCUCCCAAAAGAGGCGGGUGUACUGCUUCCAAAAUCUUCCUACACUACUCGUUUCUUCGACUCUGUUCCAUGUACCCGACGGUGUUCUCGGUCGCGCCAUUUAUGACUGCUUUAACUGUACUCCAGCAGUUCUCGUUCUCUAGAGGGGCCUCAUUGAGUUCGACUUCGUCCGGCAACGCUGCAUCGAGAUUCUGCGCGUACCUAUGCUGAGGCGACAUCCAGUUGUAUCAGUUGUAGUAGGUCGUACCGCGGGCCGGUCGUCGGUGCAGUGGUGGUCAGAGAACGCCACGAUAGGUUCUGACGAUGAUAAUGUCGGAAAAGUGCCUUCCAUAGAUCAUUGCAUGGUCGAUUUGGGAUGCUGUCUGCUGUAGUGAGCUACAGGUGUAACGAUAAAGUAGGUUGUGUUGAAAAAAUAUACUAACGUAUGACCAUAUUCUUAGAGGCGCGAAAUCGAUGGGUCGUAGAUCGUUUUCGUGCUGUUGGGUGCUGAGUAUUUCAAUCUUUAAUCUGAAUUCCGCCUCCUGGUCUACCUGAGCAUUUAGGUCUCCUAUGAUGAUCUUGACAUCGUAGUUUGGGCUGCGGUCGAACUCGCGUUCAAGCUGCGCGUAGAAUGCGUCCUUGUUAUCAUCAGUGCUUCUGAAGUGAGGACUGUGCACGUGGAUUGCUGAAGUUGAUGAACCGGCCCUUAAAUCGCAAUCUGCACAUUGCUAUCUCCCACCAACCGAUCAAGCGCCUCUGCUUAUCGCACGAUGAAAGCUGCUCCUAGCUCGCUUGUGUCACCGCAGUUCUGGUAUAGCCACUUUCUCACGUUCGCACCAUGGGUCUUGUUCAACACACCAUCUUGUCGUAAGCCCCGGUAAAGUAUGAAACGUUUUGAUGGCUGUGAUCCCUGACCAUCAUGUAAUCAAAACCCCAGGGAUACCCAAGUGACCAUACUGCUGCGGUGUGGGGGUUGCAUGUGUGAUGUCCAUAUUGACAAGCAUUUCUAUGGACCCACAGACAAACAGACGUAACACUCUGAUAAUUCCCAUCGUACAUCGAUCUAACGGUCUAUUUGAACAUUUGAUAGUUGUUGGCCAACUCGCUAUUCGUGGCGCUCGUAUCGUUUUUGUUCGAGUUUGACGUUUGCUCACUACCUCCACCUAGUUGAUAGUUGGCCAAACUCAGUCCUUUUAGCAUUGGGCGAACAUGUUUUCGUGACCAUGAUUUGAAUCGAAAAAAAAAAUGUUCGAAGUGUUAGGUUUGUUUGUCCCUGGCCAAGUUCGCAGGGGUUGACGGUAUUAAAGUGAAGGAGUUUCAUUUUGAUUAUUAUAAUGUAGUGUUCUUUAGUGAAACAUAUCACCUUUUUAACACUUUAAUGCGCCUCCAACGGUUCAUCACGAACCGGCUGCUGCAGAUGGAGUACACCCGAUUCUUUUUUGCACGGGUCUGAUUUUUGCUUUAACUCAGUCAAUUUUUAACCGAUUCUCACGAAAUUUUGUACACUGAUAGUACUAAUCGUGCCUACAUGUGUACAAAAUUUCAUGAGAAUCGGUUGAAAAUUGACUGAGUUAUAGCAAAAACCAGACCCGUGCAAAAAAAUAAUCGGGUGUAUGGCUGAUCAUAUGCAUCAGACAUGCUCGAUAAACACGGAGGAACCGCCGGGGCUCAGUAGAUUCUAUUCCCAAGCAGUAGUUCGAAGUCGAUUGGAUUUGGGAAGGUUGUAGUGAUCGUUAAAAAUCCUAAUAAAAGUAUUAUAGGAUUUGUGACAGGUUUUGGAACCUUUACGGCCAGCUGACUUUGAAAUGUUGUUUGGGCUUUCUUUCUCACGUUUCUAUGCUGAUUUUGAUUAGUAAUUUAUUAAUGCCAUAGUCGCUUUUUCAAAUUUUGACUGUUGGUCAUAUUUUCUUUAAAUAAAGCAAAUAAAAUCAACCAACGAAUUAAUAGUGAGAAGGAGAUUUGCAGCACUUAAUUGUGCUGAUAGGUUCGAAGCUAACGUGCGAACACUUAAACGCAUUGUUGACGUCAAUGCGUUCGACGUGACAUUAUAGACAAAAACUGACUGUUUUAUUAACUGAACAACUUUACUUGUGUAUGACUAGGUUGACAUUUCUAGGCUACGUUUGAGAAAAUGGACCGAUAGGACAAUUGAACUAAUUUGAAUAUUUAUUUUAGCUUCACGGAAAAUUAUUUGAAUAAUUCCUGAAAAUUCCUAAAGAUUCUCAGAAAUUUCCAGUCAUCUGGGAUUUAUUCUAAGGAGUGUAGAAAAUAUUCUCUACCAUUUAUAGAAGUGAAUAGCUUCAAGGAAAAUAUUUGAAUAAUUCCUGAAAAUCCCUAAAGAUUCUCAGAAAUUCCCAGUCAUUUGGGAUUUAUUCGGUUAGGUAUAGAAAAUAUUCUCAUUCAUGAAGUGAAUAGCUUCACGGAAAAAUAUUUAAAUAAUUCCUGAAAAUCUAAAGAUUCUCAGAAAUUCCCAGUCAUCUGGGAUGUACUCUAAGGAGUAUAGAAAAUAUUCUCAACCAUUCAUAGAAGUGAAUAGCUUCUCGGAAAAAUAUUUAAAUAAUUCCGGGAAAUCCCAAAAGAUUCUCAGAAAUUCCCAGUCAUCUGAAAUUUAUUCUAAGGAAUAUAGAAAAUCUUCUCUACCAUUUAUAGAAGUGAAUAGCUUCACGGAAAAAUAUUUAAAUAAUUCCUGAAAAUCUAAAGAUUCUCAGAAAUUCACAGUCAUCUGGGAUAUAUUCUGUUAAGUAUAGAAAUAUUAUCAGUUGUUGAAGUGAAUAGCUUCACGGAAGAAUAUUUAAAUAAUUCCGGAAAAUCUCUAAAGAUUCUCAGAAGUUCCCAGUCAUUUGGGAUUUAUUUUAAGAAGCAUAGAAAAUAUUCUCAACCAUUUAUAGAAGUGAAUAGCUUCACGGAAAAUAUUUGAAUAAUUCCUGAAAAUCCUUAAAGAUUCUCAGAAAUUCCCAGUCAUCUGGAAUUUAUUCUAAGGAGUAUAGAAAAUAUUCUCUACCAUUUAUAGAAGUAAAUAGCUUCACGGAAAAAUAUUUAAAUAAUUCCCGAAAAUCUAAAGAUUCUCAGAAAUUCCCAGUCAUUUGGAAUUUAUUCUAAGGAGUAUAGAAAAUAUUCUCUACCAUUUAUAGAAGUGAAUAGCUUCUCGGAAAAAUAUUUAAAUAAUUCCUGAAAAUCUAAAGAUUCUCAGAAAUUCACAGUCAUUUGGGAUAUAUUCUGUUAAGUAUAGAAAUAACUAUUAUCAUUCGUUGAAGUGAAUAGCUUCACGGAAAAAUAUUUAAAUAAUUCCGGAAAAUCUCUAAAGAUUCUCAGAAGUUCCCAGUCAUUUGGGAUUUAUUCUAAGGAGUAUAGAAAAUAAAAAAAAAUAUUUUAUACGAUUGAAGUUAGGUAGAUUCUCCCGACAAGAAAUUAUCACUUUCAUAAUAGCGUUUCCUCCUGCUCGGAUUACCGCCACCGUCAGCAGUACCACAAAUAUAGCUGUUUCGAGAUGAUCUCCUGGGAGUUAUUCACGAAGAACCCUGCGUCGCACAUGAUUUAUUUAUUUAUUUAUUUAUUUAUUUGUAAGUUAAUUCAUCUGACAAUAGUUAUUAGUCUUAAUGAAUCUUAUAUACUAUUUCUAAAACUAUUUACACUCAUUCCGAAGUCAAAAUUAGGAUACGCUUCAUUAAAAAUACUCAUCAUUGAGCGAAUGGGCUCAUUAACAUCAUAGUUAUAAAAAGGACGAGGAAGGCGAAAGAGGUCGUUUGAGCGAAGCGUAUAAGCGGGCACAUUUAUAUCCAACGACGCCAGCAGAAAGGGAGCAUCUAUUUUACCGGCCAGGAUUUUAAAGACAAACACUGCCUUAGCAGCUUUCCUACGAUGUUCCAAUGUCUCGAUGUUUAUCAGUCGGCAUCUCGCUUCAUACGGUGGCAGAUUGUAGGGAUUGUGGUACCUUGUGGUAUGCACAUAAUAAAUUAUUGUAUUACUCUAUUACGUUUAGCGUGUAUGUUUACAUUGAGUAUCUGUCAUAUGCGGAGAUGUUGUUAUUGUUGUCUGGAGUGUGAAUCAUUGUAUGUAAUAUUGAAGUAUCGGUAAUAAAGUGUAUACAAAUAAUGAAUACAGUUGUUGAAUAAUCAUUACAGAGAAAGAUUCUCACAUUGGCGACGAGAACGGUGAACAGUGCAUGUGAAAUUAGUUUAGUUUCUGUUCGGGAAGUGUUGUCUUUGGAAAAAGAAAGAGAUGAGUGGUGUGUGUGUGUGUGUGUGGUGCAUGUAGAGUGGUGAUGACCUCCAGGUGAUGACUUGUGAUUGAAUUUCAACAUUGGAAUCAAAAAGGUAAAUAUUGUGUACUAACUGUUCAAUAUGAAUCAAACAAUCUAUUUGUACCUUCGACUAAUGACAAUGAUCAACCUGUGAGAGAUUUUGAUGGUGAUCGGUAUUGUUUAGUUCAAAUCGAUGACAAUCACUAUUGUCAGAUAAAGAAAUAAAGAACUGUGAAGAAAAUCUAAGUUUUGUUGAUUGUGAUAUUGAUACUCGUUGAAUAGGGUUGUUGUCCUAAAUCUAGACUCAAAUGCUUAAUGAUGAAUGAAGUAUUGAUUUGUUAACCGGAUGGCCGAGGAAGGCGUAGAGGUGAAACAAUAUUUUGAAAUCAAAUUUUGCUGUUGCUGUUAAAAGCCAGUGAAGGCGAUGAAAGCCAAUGAAGGCGAUAAAAGCUAAUGAAGGCGACAUUCUUGAAAUAGCCGUAAAAGGCGGAAAGGAUUACAGAUAGAAAAGCCGUUGAAGGCGGAAAAAUGUUAUAGGCAGAAGAGCCGACUAAGGCGAAAAACUGUCGAUGGCGGAAAGAUCCGUCGGAGAGUGAAAAGCUGUUGAAGGCGGAAAAGGCCGUUGAAGGUGGAAAUGCCGUUGAAGGCGGUAAGACCUGCAAGGCAGAUAUAGUCGAUUCUUUGUAGAGCCGUAUAAGGCGAAUUGCGCUAUUAAAAAUUAAAGUACUAAAAACGCAACAGUGUCGUAAAUUUCGUAAGAAACAGAUUACCAGCCAACGCAGAUUUAAGGGCUGUUUGCAGAUCAGAAGGAAUUUCUCGGCCUAUCUUGAGGCAUGGGAAAUUCCUUGGCUGAAUCACUCAAGAAACCGUUUUUUCUUCGAUCGCAGUAGGCAGUUGCGAAGAAAUGACAGUUCAAAUGGCAGUCACCGUAGAAAGUUUCUGCCAGGAAUCGUUCUAGAAGUUUCUUGAGCGAUUUCUCUUGAACUCCAAUCUGGGCUUUUUAGUUAAAUUGAACCAUUAAAAAUGAAAUUUCACACCAAUAAAGUGGCAGCUGAGAAGGCGAAAGACAAAACUAAACUUUAGGCUGAGCGUGACUAGAAAAACAGGAACGAAUAGUAUUUGAAUAUGUUCCAAAUGCGAACAUAACUGAGCAGAUACUGAGAUUGUUGUGGACCCACCUCAGGUGAUAUAUAUUGAAGUUAUCAUUGCUCAGUAAAGUAUAAUAAGUCUACGGAGACGUAAAAAGGGUUGGCUCUUGAAACCAAAUUAACAUGAAGACAUGAUUUAACUAGUGCUUUGUCCUCUCUUACAAGACUAAAAAUGUAACUUCAAGAAAAUUAACAUCAAUGUGUGAGAAUAAUUAAACUGUCUUGGUAGUUUGCAAGAUAGGAAGUCAAAAUAAAGCAUUCGUUGAAGCUAGACGACAUAUUCAGAGCAGUUGCUAACCACUAACCUGUUAAGUAUCAUGCUAGUCAAAUGGCUAGUUGAAUUGGAUAUUUAAAAAAAUCGAACAAUAAAAAAAUGAAACUUUUCGGCUUAACUAGAAGUCUCAGGAAUUCGAGUAAAAAGCGCUUUAUAACCUAUUGAAUGCCACUAAAUGUUUAUGCGAUUCAAGUACAGUGAGUUCUUGAGUAAUCACUUCUGAAGUCUUUGAAUAUAAAAUGUAUCGGGUGUGGUCAGGAGGGGCAUUUUGACUUAUGAUUGCCUAACACUGGAUAUAGUGCCAUUUUUGCUAAUGAGUGGGCCAUCUUGCUAAGAACUGUGGCACAAGUUAGAGAACAAGGUACAGCAGUACGCUCAACAACAAAUUCUGCACAAUAAUUUCCUUACAGGAAGAGACAAAUUUUGAUCAGUUAAAGAAGUAUUGAAACUAUUAUUCAGGAGAAUAACGUACAGUAUAUCAAAAGCACAAGAUAUUGGAAUAAUAAAAGAUAAUCAUUUCUGUAGCUACAGGAAUAGAUAUAUCUAAUGAAAGCUGGAUUAUGAGGUUUGUUUUUCAGUCGAGCUUAUUAAUGCAAACAGGUACCAUUUACUAACAUGUUACCUUGUUUGAAUUUUUAAACUGAAAAAAAACUGCAAAUAUUGUAUGCAUGUGUCGCUCACAUAGAUUUUUGCAAUUUGUCAUAGAUAACCCUUUUCAUGUGUAGAUACACAUAGUUUAUAUAAGGUCCAUCGAUUUUAUGUGUGAUCCAGCGUGGAAAACGAGUAUGUGUGUACAAAUAAAAUUUAUAUAUCAAAUUCAUGGAUUUUUACCAAUAAAAAUGCGUGUACAUGUAUAAGUGAUAUUUGUGUUAAUAAGUUUAUUGAAAAUUUGAAUAAAAACGUGCUUUAAAUUGUUUCAGUACAAAGAAAUGAAUCGUAGAGGCAAGCAUAAGGGCCAUCAUGACACAGACAAUCAUGGUCAGUGUGCACUACGUCAGACUUGUAGUCGUUAACAAAAAAAAUGAGGAUGUAUUUCAUCGAAAAAAUGUGAAAUAAGUGAUAUGUUAGACAGAUGAUUGGGCUUUGAAAUAAUGCAGAAUAUUCUAGUUCGAUCCAACGAACUGAGAAUAUUAUCAAUAUGAUGAGCAUAUGUAGAAAAUCAGAGUUACUUAAAGAUAAAAAGUUCUAAGUUUUGACGGUAUAUUGAAUGCGAAUAAUUUGGAAAAGGCUUGUUGAAAUAGCAUCAUUAGGUAUCUAGAGUGAAAACAUAACAUGUUGAGAGGCGUUUGCAAUAUUUUGGAGGUACACCAUUAAAAUAAGUCCUACAGUUCAGAACCCAAAAGAGCGACAUCAAAGGAACAAAUUUUUGGUUUUGUAAUGUUAAAAUAGGUUUAAUUGAGCACGAAUCACCAGUUAAUGCGGGAAAAUAUGCAUCGUAGAAUGUAAACCUAUUCAACGACCAAACCGCAAAAAUAAACUCAUUCAGUUUUAAAGGUAAAUGGUAAAUCAUGAGAAUUCCGAAAUUAUCGGAAACAUGAUUCCUAAAAACGUGGACACCUAUUUAUUUUGUUAUCUGGAGAAAAUUGCUUUGUAUAUAAUAAUUGGCUACUAUCAUUACGUUUUCGGUUGGAAGCCGAAGUGACUGGCGGUGCGAAAAUUGAUGUUUAACCUACUUAUAAACAUAGCAACUCGAUUUAGAUUAGUGCUAAUUUCAGCUCUUAAGUAGCUUAAUGAUGCGCAAUACCAGCAACCAGUUCAAAUUUACGUCACAACUGCAACUUUGCAUGUGCUUAAAUGCAUGACUUCGAUUUGGUACUGCGACGAUGAUGUAUGUAUUAAGAAUUUGAGAUAAUUAUAGGAUUACAACAUGAAAAAAAAGAAUGAAUAUUAAUAUUCUACUAUACUUUCAAACAGCUAGUGCGGGUGCGAGUUUUGUGAACAAUAUAUAUUAAAUGUAAUUCAAAAACUGGAUGUUUUCAAAUUACUAUUUAGCUAAAACUAGUAUUACAAAUAUUGCUUUGGACAAGUGACGUUUUUCGAAAUCGUGAUUUGAUUUAAAAAAGUAUCAAUCCCAUCGAUAUUUAGAAAACAAAAUCUGUAAAGCCAAACUUCUGAAUAUAUUCUGAACAAGAAACGAGUUCCAGCAAAGUUCGCUAAAAAAAAACAUGAAAUGAAAUAGUGUUUGUAUGACACUUGGACACUUUGGAUCGAAAACGAGUUAAUGGAUAUUGAUAAUUUUUCCACUGUAACAUUCGUGCAGUGUUCCGACAUAUUAGUUAAAAAAAUGUCUGAAUAAUAAUCUGAAUAUACAUACCUUUUGUAUGAUAUUCUUCUAUGAAAGGACAUGUCAAAAAAAAUCAGUGGGCAGUAUACAAUGUUUGCAUGCUAGCUGUCAUUGAAAGCAUUUGAGAAGAGGAAAGCAAUUCAAUUAAUUCAUCAGCAAAGGUAAUAUUUAGCUUGACACUCAGUAUUAAAAAUAUUUUGGGAUUUGGGAAAAUAUUUGGGUCAAAAUAAUAUUUCUUUUUAGGUACAACCGUACAACCACAAGUAACGGCCAAGUAAUUUACUAAAAUGCCGAGCAGAGAUGGAUGACCAAAUGGAUGACUGUACUUCUAAUUCUGAUGUGAGACUGAAGCGAGACGUUCAUAAACUGAGGAGACUAUAAGCGAAACAACGUGGAGUGACCUUGCUGCGGAUCUGGAGAAAAAACGAGAUGUGGUACCUUGUGGUAUGCACAUAAUAAAUUAUUGUAUUACUCUAUUACGUUUAGCGUGUAUGUUUACAUUGAGUAUCUGUCAUAUGCGGAGAUGUUGUUAUUGUUGUCUGGAGUGUGAAUCAUUGUAUGUAAUAUUGAAGUAUCGGUAAUAAAGUGUAUACAAAUAAUGAA